rnacentral:rRNA from 1 species
UGGGGACUACGACCGCAAGGUUAAAACUCAAAGGAAUUGACGGGGACCCGCACAAGCGGUGGAGCAUGUGGUUUAAUUCGAUGCAACGCGAAGAACCUUACCUACCCUUGACAUCCUAAGAAGACAAAAGAGAUUUUGUUGUGCCUUCGGGAACUUAGAGACAGGUGCUGCAUGGCUGUCGUCAGCUCGUGUCGUGAGAUGUUGGGUUAAGUCCCGCAACGAGCGCAACCCUUAUGUUUAGUUGCCAUCAUUAAGUUGGGCACUUCUAAAGAGACUGCCGCUGAUAAGCGGAGGAAGGUGGGGACGACGUCAAGUCAUCAUGGCCCUUACGGGUAGGGCUACACACGUGCUACAAUGGGCAUUACAGAGGGCAGCGAAGGGGUGACCUGGAGCGAAACCCAGAAAGAUGUUCGUAGUCCGGAUUGAUCUCUGCAACUCGAGAUCAUGAAGUCGGAAUCGCUAGUAAUCGCGAAUCAGAAUGUCGCGGUGAAUACGUUCCCGGGUCUUGUACACACCGCCCGUCACACCAUGGGAGUGGGUUGCAAAAGAA